rnacentral:rRNA from 1 species
AGGUUAAGUUAUUAAGGGCGCAUGGUGGAUGCCUUGGCACUAGGAGCCGAUGAAGGACGUGACUAACUGCGAUAUGCUUCGGGGAGUCGUAAGUAGACUGUGAUCCGGAGAUUUCCGAAUGGGGAAACCCAACAGGUUUUGCCUGUUAUCGCUCAAUGAAUUCAUAGUUGAGCUGAAGGUAGACGCGGGGAACUGAAACAUCUAAGUACCCGCAGGAAGAGAAAGAAAAUUCGAUUCCCUAAGUAGCGGCGAGCGAACGGGGAACAGCCCAAACCAGAGAGCUUGCUCUUUGGGGUUGUAGGACUGGACAUCUGAGUUACCAAGAAAUAACGUAGUCGAAUGAUAUGGGAAGAUCAGCCAGAGAAGGUAACAGCCCUGUAAACGAAACGUUGUUUCCUCAGUCCAGGAUCCUGAGUACGGCGGAACACGUGAAACUCCGUCGGAAUCCGGGAGGACCAUCUCCCAAGGCUAAAUACUCCCUAGUGACCGAUAGUGAACCAGUACCGUGAGGGAAAGGUGAAAAGCACCCCGGGAGGGGAGUGAAAGAGUACCUGAAACCAUGUGCCUACAAGUAGUCAGAGCCCGUUAACGGGUGAUGGCGUGCCUUUUGUAGAAUGAACCGGCGAGUUAUGCUAACGUGCGAGGUUAAGGCGGAAAGGCCGGAGCCGCAGCGAAAGCGAGUCUGAACAGGGCGAACGAGUACGUUGGUGUAAACCCGAAACCAGGUGACCUACCCAUGUCCAGGUUGAAGGUGCGGUAAAACGCACUGGAGGACCGAACCCGUGUAUGUUGAAAAAUGCUGGGAUGAGGUGUGGGUAGCGGUGAAAUUCCAAUCGAACUUGGAGAUAGCUGGUUCUCUCCGAAAUAGCUUUAGGGCUAGCCUCGGAGUUGAGAAUCGUGGAGGUAGAGCACUGUUUGGACUAGGGGCCCGUCUUGGGUUACUGAAUUCAGAUAAACUCCGAAUGCCACUGAUUUAUAUCCGGGAGUCAGACUGCGAGUGAUAAGAUCCGUAGUCGAAAGGGAAACAGCCCAGACCACCGAUUAAGGUCCCUAAAUAUGUGUUAAGUGGAAAAGGAUGUGGAAUUGCACAGACAACUAGGAUGUUGGCUCAGAAGCAGCCACCAUUUAAAGAGUGCGUAAUAGCUCACUAGUCGAGUGAUCCUGCGCCGAAAAUGUAACGGGGCUAAACACAUUACCGAAAUCGUGGAUGCAGCUUUGCUGCAUGGUAGGAGAGCGUUCUAAGGGCGGUGAAGCCGGACCGUAAGGACCGGUGGAGCGCUUAGAAGUGAGAAUGCCGGUAUGAGUAGCGAAAGACAGGUGAGAAUCCUGUCCACCGAAUGACUAAGGUUUCCUGGGGAAGGCUCGUCCUCCCAGGGUUAGUCGGGACCUAAGCUGAGGCCGAGAGGCGUAGGCGAUGGACAACGGGUUGAUAUUCCCGUACCGGUCUGAUUUGUUUGAGCAACGGAGGGACGCAGGAGGCUAACGAUGCGCACUAUCGGAUGUGCGUCCAAGCAGCAAGUCUGUCGGCGAGUCAAAUGCUUGCCGGCUCAAGGACAAGCUGUGACGGGUAUGAACGAUUUAUCGUUCUAAGUGAGUGACGUCACACUGCCAAGAAAAGCUUCUAGUUAGAAUCAGACCGCCCGUACCGCAAACCGACACAGGUAGUCGGGUCGAGAAGACCAAGGUGAGCGAGAGAACUCUCGUUAAGGAACUCGGCAAAAUGACCCCGUAACUUCGGGAGAAGGGGUGCUGAUCGCAAGAUCAGCCGCAGUGAAUAGGCCCAGGCGACUGUUUAUCAAAAACACAGGUUUCUGCAAAAUCGUAAGAUGAAGUAUAGGGGCUGACGCCUGCCCGGUGCUGGAAGGUUAAGAGGAUGGGUUAGCGCAAGCGAAGCUCAGAAUUGAAGCCCCAGUAAACGGCGGCCGUAACUAUAACGGUCCUAAGGUAGCGAAAUUCCUUGUCGGGUAAGUUCCGACCCGCACGAAAGGCGUAACGAUCUGGGCACUGUCUCAACGAGAGACUCGGUGAAAUUAUAAUACCCGUGAAGAUGCGGGUUACCCGCGACAGGACGGAAAGACCCCAUGGAGCUUUACUGUAGCUUGAUAUUGGGUGUUUGUACAACUUGUACAGGAUAGGUAGGAGCCGUAGAAGUCGGGACGCUAGUUUCGACGGAGGCAUCGGUGGGAUACUACCCUCGUUGUAUGAACACUCUAACCCACGCCGGCAAUCACGGCGGGAGACAGUGUCAGGUGGGCAGUUUGACUGGGGCGGUCGCCUCCUAAAAGGUAACGGAGGCGCCCAAAGGUUCCCUCAGAAUGGUUGGAAAUCAUUCGCAGAGUGUAAAGGCAUAAGGGAGCUUGACUGCGAGACCUACAAGUCGAGCAGGGACGAAAGUCGGGCUUAGUGAUCCGGUGGUUCCGCAUGGAAGGGCCAUCGCUCAACGGAUAAAAGCUACCCUGGGGAUAACAGGCUUAUCUCCCCCAAGAGUCCACAUCGACGGGGAGGUUUGGCACCUCGAUGUCGGCUCAUCGCAUCCUGGGGCUGUAGUCGGUCCCAAGGGUUGGGCUGUUCGCCCAUUAAAGCGGUACGCGAGCUGGGUUCAGAACGUCGUGAGACAGUUCGGUCCCUAUCCGUCGCGGGCGCAGGAAAUUUGAGAGGAUCUGUCCUUAGUACGAGAGGACCGGGAUGGACAUACCGCUGGUGUACCAGUUGUUCUGCCAAGGGCAUCGCUGGGUAGCUAUGUAUGGAUGAGAUAAACGCUGAAAGCAUCUAAGUGCGAAACUCACCUCGAGAUAAGAUUUCCCACUCCUUUAUGGAGUUAAGACCCCUGAGAGAUGAUCAGGUAGAUAGGAUGGAAGUGGAAGUGCGGCGACGCAUGGAGCGGACCAUUACUAAUCGGUCGAGGACUUAACCAAAAA